rnacentral:siRNA from 1 species
UAUCACAUACAAUGACUCGCUUGU